rnacentral:rRNA from 1 species
UGGUGGGUAGUUUGACUGGGGCGGUCUCCUCCUAAAGAGUAACGGAGGAGCACGAAGGUUGGCUAAUCCUGGUCGGACAUCAGGAGGUUAGUGCAAUGGCAUAAGCCAGCUUGACUGCGAGCGUGACGGCGCGAGCAGGUGCGAAAGCAGGUCAUAGUGAUCCGGUGGUUCUGAAUGGAAGGGCCAUCGCUCAACGGAUAAAAGGUACUCCGGGGAUAACAGGCUGAUACCGCCCAAGAGUUCAUAUCGACGGCGGUGUUUGGCACCUCGAUGUCGGCUCAUCACAUCCUGGGGCUGAAGUAGGUCCCAAGGGUAUGGCUGUUCGCCAUUUAAAGUGGUACGCGAGCUGGGUUUAGAACGUCGUGAGACAGUUCGGUCCCUAUCUGCCGUGGGCGCUGGAGAACUGAGGGGGGCUGCUCCUAGUACGAGAGGACCGGAGUGGACGCAUCACUGGUGUUCGGGUUGUCAUGCCAAUGGCACUGCCCGGUAGCUAAAUGCGGAAAAGAUAAGUGCUGAAAGCAUCUAAGCACGAAACUUGCCCCGAGAUGAGUUCUCCCUGAGACCUAGAGUCUCCUGAAGGAACGUUGAAGACGACGACGUUGAUAGGCCGGGUGUGUAAGCGCAGCGAUGCGUUGAGCUAACCGGUACUAAUGAACCGUGAGGCUUAACCUUACAACGCCGAAG